rnacentral:rRNA from 1 species
AGCAGCCGCGGUAAUUCCAGCUCCAAUAGCGUAUAUUAAAGUUGUUGCAGUUAAAAAGCUCGUAGUUGAAUUUCGGGGUCAGUAGGUCGGUCGUGCCACUGGUAUGAACUGGUUUUACUGAUUCCUCCCUCUCGAAGAACUGUAAUGCCAUUAAUUUGGUGUUGCAGGGAAUCAGGACUGUUACUUUGAAAAAUUAGAGUGUUUAAAGCAGGCUUUAGCUUGAAUACAUUAGCAUGGAAUGAUGAAUAGGACGUUUGAUCCUAUUUUGUUGGUUUCUAGGAUUGACGUAAUGAUUAAUAGGGAUAGUUGGGGGCAUUAGUAUUCAAUUGUCAGAGGUGAAAUUCUUGGAUUUUAUUGAAGACUGACUACUGCGAAAGCAUUUGCCAAGGAUGUU